rnacentral:rRNA from 1 species
CCAAUAGCGUAUAUUAAAGUUGUUGCAGUUAAAAAGCUCGUAGUUGAAUUUCGGGGUCAGUAGUUUGGUCAUGCCACAGGUAUGUACUGAUCUUACUGAUUCCUCCUUCCUGAUGAACCGUAAUGCCAUUAAUUUGGUGUUGCGGGGAAACUGGACUGUUACUUUGAAAAAAUUAGAGUGUUUAAAGCAGGCUAACGCUUGAAUACAUUAGCAUGGAAUAAUGAAAUAGGACGUUCGAUCCUAUUUUGUUGGUUUCUAGGAUUGACGUAAUGAUUAAUAGGGAUAGUUGGGGGCAUUAGUAUUCAAUUGUCAGAGGUGAAAUUCUUGGAUUUAUUGAAGACUAACUACUGCAAAAGCAUUUGCCAAGGAUGUUUUCAUUAAUCAAGAACGAAAGUUAGGGGAUCGAAGACGAUCAGAUACCGUCGUAGUCUUAACCAUAAACUAUGCCGACUAGGGAUCGGAUGAUGUUAAUUUUAUAAUGACUCAUUCGGCGCCUUACG